rnacentral:rRNA from 1 species
UACGUAGGGGGCAAGCGUUAUCCGGAUUUACUGGGUGUAAAGGGGGCGCAGACGGCGAUGCAAGCCAGGAGUGAAAGCCCGGGGCCCAACCCCGGGACUGCUCUUGGAACUGCAUGGCUGGAGUGCGGGAGGGGCAGGCGGAAUUCCUGGUGUAGCGGUGAAAUGCGUAGAUAUCAGGAGGAACACCGGCGGCGAAGGCGGCCUGCUGGACCGCGACUGACGUUGAGGCACGAAAGCGUGGGGAGCGAACAGG